GACGUUAGCGACAGAAGAAAGCACCGGCUAACUCCGUGCCAGCAGCCGCGGUAAUACGGAGGGUGCGAGCGUUAAUCGGAAUUACUGGGCGUAAAGCGCAUGCAGGUGGUUUGUUAAGUCAGAUGUGAAAGACCCGGGGCGUCAACCUCGGAAUAGCAUUUGUAAACUAGGCAGACUAGAGUACUGUAGAGGGGGGUAGGAAUUUCAGGUGUAGCGGUGAAAUGCGUAGAGAUCUGAAGGAAUACCGGUGGCGAAGGCGGCCCCCUCGGACAGAUACUGACACUCAGAUGCGAAAGCGUGGGGAGCAAACAGGAUUAGAUACCCUGGUAG
rnacentral:rRNA from 1 species